rnacentral:lncRNA from 1 species
CAGCUUAUAUCUCUAGUUAUCAGUUGAGGAUUUUGCCUUAGAGAAUGAGGUUGUAAACUUGCAGAGGUGGGUGGCAGGCCCUGUAUGUGUGGAUCCAGCAUGCAGCCGAAGAGGCUUGCCACCGAACCUCCAUGUAUAACAGAGGAUGUAUUUGAAGACUACUUGGCCACAGAUGAUAUGCUUGUAGACUACUUUAAUGAAUUUUUGAGUCUUCCGCCCAGCGUCAGAGGCCUCAGUGAAAUAGUGCAGUGAUGUCAACUUGUCUGUGCUAAACUCUACAAGCUACCUGCUAUUYGUUCCACUCCAUGCUGCUGCCCUAGCCUUCAUUUUCAAACUACCAGUGGAUUGGGUCCUCACCGAGACACGCUUUUCCUCUUCGUGACCUACUUGAAGAGCCGCACUAUGGUCAAAAGGGCUAACUGCACCUUGGCUGAAGUGCAUUCGGGAGAUGGCACUCUCGGUGGCAAGGCCCUGGCUGCGGGCUUCCCUUGCAGCAGAAAGGUGACCACAAUGUUAUCAACUUCAGAUCUGAAGACGAACUUCUUUUGAAAGUCUUUCCCCUAUAAAAGCUCUCAGCUCAUAAAAAAAGGACAAGCAAUUAUUUUAUCUCAUUUAUUACAAUAAAAUUAAACAUACUCUCCUUUCCUUGCUUAGG